AAAACCUCUCAGGGCGGGGUGAAAUUCCCCACCGGCGGUAAGCAACGGCGCGCAGGCGUUGAUGUAAGCCCGCGAGCGCCACGGGCACCUUCACAGGCACCCUGGGACAGCAGACCCGGUGUGAAUCCGGGGCCGACGGUAUAGUCCGGAUGAAAGAGAGUUGGA
rnacentral:ncRNA from 2 species